GGGGUGGGAUGAGGGCGUGUUUUCUAGCCCUGCCGUAGCUACACGUAGCCUUCCGCGCGGCUGAGCGCAUACGCAGUUUUCGUGCUGUAUCUAGCCGCCAACCAUAUCUCGGAGGUUGUCUGCGGCUGGUGCAAAGAUUUUUCGAACCGAUAUGGCUAAUGGCUUCAUGCGCGGUUUCUUACCGCGUCCCUAGUGUUGGAGGUCACAUAGUUUAAGUUUCCGAGACGCAGUGAAGCGAGUGGCAGUACAAUGCGUUCGUUGCCGCUUCCAGCCCCCUUCACCACUCCAGCGUUAUGACAACGAGGGAUCGCGGUCGGCUGGCCACCCAAUGCUUCGCUUGCGAUGGCACCAACUAAGGAAACUGAUGCGACAAGUGGCGCAGAAAGGCAACGAUGUCAACGGGCGAAUUUCGCUUUUGUCCGGCGAGAGACACGCCAGCAUGGAGCAGAACGCCUUCGCGCGUUCGUGGCGAACUCUGCCACUCCCAUUCCUGAAGCUUAGUGCAUCGCAACUGGCUGCUCAAGACAUUACGGAGCCGGACCAAGAUGCUCGUACCUUCGCCGCACCGACUCUGCAGCAGGAGGCCGAUCGCCAACAGGACGCCACGUGACAAGCAAACCUGCAACACGGUUGCCGGCCCGCAAAUCGUGCGCCUUUUGCUGCAGCAUACCUUGAGUCUAUAUCUUUUUUAAGAGAUUACUUGUUAACAGAGCAAGGACUAUAGCGAUUGUAGCCAUGGAAGCCUGACAAAGACGUUACGGUAACAGCCAUCAUAGAAAUGUGUUCAGUCAACGCUGCUUAAACUCGCUGCCAUUGCCAAACUACCCUAUUCACUCGAACCUUUUUUUUCUUUUUAUCUGUUUCGAACAGUCAUGUCCGGAAUAAGGGAAACGUGAGGGCUGUCUAAGACAAAAGAGUUGCAGGCCAGAAACAACAAGAACCGGCAAUUGUUGGCCAUUGUGUGAUUAAAUAGAAAUGUGCUAACGCCUA